rnacentral:rRNA from 1 species
AACGAACGCUGGCGGCAUGCCUAACACAUGCAAGUCGAACGAGACCUUCGGGUCUAGUGGCGCACGGGUGCGUAACGCGUGGGAACCUGCCCUUAGGUUCGGAAUAACUCCCCGAAAGGGGUGCUAAUACCGGAUAAUGUCUUCGGACCAAAGAUUUAUCGCCUUUGGAUGGGCCCGCGUUGGAUUAGCUAGUUGGUAGGGUAAAAGCCUACCAAGGCGACGAUCCAUAGCUGGUCUGAGAGGAUGAUCAGCCACACUGGGACUGAGACACGGCCCAGACUCCUACGGGAGGCAGGAGUGGGGAAUAUUGGACAAUGGGGGAAAGCCUGAUCCAGCAAUGCCGCGUGAGUGAUGAAGGCCUUAGGGUUGUAAAGCUCUUUUACCCGGGAUGAUAAUGACAGUACCGGGAGAAUAAGCUCCGGCUAACUCCGUG